GUUGUCGUCAGCUCGUGUCGUGAGAUGUUGGGUUAAGUCCCGCAACGAGCGCAACCCUUAUGACUAGUUGCCAGCAUUUAGUUGGGCACUCUAGUAAGACUGCCGGUGACAAACCGGAGGAAGGUGGGGAUGACGUCAAAUCAUCAUGCCCCUUAUGACCUGGGCUACACACGUGCUACAAUGGAUGGUACAACGAGUUGCGAGACCGCGAGGUCAAGCUAAUCUCUUAAAGCCAUUCUCAGUUCGGACUGUAGGCUGCAACUCGCCUACACGAAGUCGGAAUCGCUAGUAAUCGCGGAUCAGCACGCCGCGGUGAAUACGUUCCCGGGUCUUGUACACAC
rnacentral:rRNA from 1 species